AAAUCCAAAGGAAAUAUUUUCACCGAUUCUGGGAAAUUAUUUCCUUUUGGAAGAGACUUGCAUUACUUAAAUUUGAGAAAUACUGUUUAUUACAAAGUAUAAAGUUCCCUCUAUAUGGGCCUACUAAUACAGGAAAAAAAAAUCCUAAAAUGAGAUAAACAAAAAUAUUGACUGCUAUUUUCUUUAUAGAUUCUUUUUUAUCUGAAAGACUGUAUGUUCCCCUGCCACCAAACAAACAGAAGUCAAUAAGUGUCGUAUUAAAGCCAUAUCAAAUUUGCCGACCAUUCUCUAAAUGAGGCAAUGGGCCGUAAGUCUCCCUCAUCCAGUAGAAGCUGUCAGUCCUAUCAUUCUGAGGGAAGUAGCUGUCACUGGUGCUGUGUUGGAGAAUUCUGGAAGGCCAAGGGAAGUAUAUCUAGUCAUUCCUUUCUGGCCGAGUGGGGACUUUGGAUUAAGAGACAUGGUUCAUAAAGAACUUGUUUAGAAACGCUUGCACAAAGGGUCCGAAAGAAAAAGCUUUCAACUUUAUCGUCUGUGAGAAGUAUAAGCAUUUGAUGGUACUGAGGGAAAAAAUUGGGAAAAUCAAAUAAAAGUCAUAUGAGUCUGGCGAAACA
rnacentral:lncRNA from 1 species